AUCCGGGUCCCACCGGGUAGGGACAGGUGAACUCCGCCAGGCCCGGAAGGGAGCAACGGUAAGCCUUGUUUCCUACGCCGGAUGGGAGUGCCCGGUUUAA
rnacentral:SRP_RNA from 1 species